UCCUUCAUGAGUUGGGUACAUACGCUCCCA
rnacentral:piRNA from 1 species